rnacentral:rRNA from 1 species
UGAUAAAAAUAGUUUAAAGGUUAGUCUUGUUAGAGGUAUAAAAAUAAUUAGUAGUGUUAACGAAAAUUUCUUUUUACUAUAGAAAAUUAGUACUGUGAAGGAAAUAUUGAAAUAUUUGAAAAUUUUUCAUAAUAAAAGUACUUAUAAAUUGAGGUACCUUUUGUAUUAGUGGUUAUUAAAAUAAAACUAAAGAGUUUUUUCUCGAAAAUAAAAGAUCUAGGUAAGUUUGAAAGUUUUUGUGUCAAAAAAAUUUUUUAAGUCUGCUUAGGGGUGAAAUUCUAAUCGCUUUUAUUAAUAUCUAGUAACUUCAGAAAUAAAUUCAGUUUAGAACGUAUAGGGAGAUUUUAAUUUAAAAAUUGUUCUUAAAACGUUUUUAGAUUUUAGGGGAUGAGCUCUAAAGUCAUUUUAAAAGAUUCGAUUAUAUUGUUUUUUUCAUAGGCUUAGAAUUAGCUAUAAGAAAGUGUUAUAAAAUAUAAGACUAGGUUUAAGAUUUAUUGUUCUUUUUUGUUUAUGAAGUUAUUUUAAAAAUUUUUUAAAGAAAGAAAAUAUGAUAACAUUAGUAGAUAAUAGGAUAAAGAAUAUCAUUUUAAAUUAUUCUCAGGAGUUUAAAUAAAAUAAAUUUUACAGAAGAACUCGGCAAAUGAAAUUUCCGAAUGUUUAACAAAAACAUUUCCUCUUAGUAAAGGAGGUAAGGCCUGCUCACUGAAUUUUAAAGAGCCGCAGUAUCCUAACUGUGCUAAGGUAGCAUAAUCAUUAGUCUUUUAAUUGGAGACUGGUAUGAAUGGCUAAACGAGAGAUUGACUUUUUUUGUAAUAAAAAUUGAAUUUAAUUUUUUAGUGAAAAAGCUAAAAUUUUUCAGAAAGACGAGAAGACCCUAUAGAGUUUCAUACCUCAAAAUAUUUUUUUUAAGUGGAUGUUUCAAACAAAGUGUUGUUGGGUAUUUUGUUGGGGCGACAUUAAGAUAAAUAAAACUCUUUUUUUUAAAAAUUUUUAUAGAAAUAUAUUUAUGAUCCUUUAAAAAAGAUCAAAAGAAAAAAUUACCUUAGGGAUAACAGCGUAAUCUUUUUUGAGAGUUCUAAUCGACAAAAAGGUUUGCGACCUCGAUGUUGGACUAAAAUUUAGGCAAGGUGCAGCAGUUUUGCUUUAAGGUCUGUUCGACCUAUAAUAUUUUACACGAUCUGAGUUCAGACCGGCGUGAGCCAGGUUGGUUUCUAUCUUCUGAUUUCAUUUAUUUCAAUUUAGUACGAAAGGAUUGGUUGAUUGUAAUUUUUACAAGUAGGAGAGGAUUAUUAAAUAUCAUUAU